AAGGAGAAAAGGAAAAAAAAAAAGAGUUAGAUGCCCCUAGGAGGAGAAAAUAAAAAUGAUUCCGCAAGUAGUGGCGAGCGAACGCGGAAGAGCCCAAACCGGUAUUGUUUAGGCAAUACCGGGGUUGUAGGACCACGUUGUGGCAAGAACUUAGGAAAGUGGAACACUUUGGAAAAAGUGAUCAUAGAGGGUGAAAAUCCCGUACACGACUUUCUAACGAAGCCUAGUGGUAUCCUGAGUAGCGCGGAGCACGAGAAAUUCUGUGUGAAUCAGCGGGGCCCAUCCCGUAAGGCUAAAUACUCCCGAGAGACCGAUAGCGAACCAGUACUGUGAAGGAAAGGUGAAAAGCACCUCGAACAGAGGAGUGAAAUAGUCCCUGAAACCGUCUGCCUACAAGCGGUCGGAGCAACAAAAGUUGUGACGGCGUGCCUUUUGCAUAAUGAACCUACGAGUUACUUUCUCCGGCAAGGUUAAGGGCUUCAGGCCCGGAGCCGAAGCGAAAGCGAGUCUUAAUAGGGCGCCAUAGUCGGAGUGAGUAGACGCGAAACCAAGUGAUCUACCCUUGGUCAGGUUGAAGGUUGGGUAACACCAACUGGAGGUCCGAAUGGGUAUACGUUGAAAAGUGUUCCAAUGAACUGAGGGUAGGGGUGAAAGGCUAAUCAAACUUGGAGAUAGCUCGUACUCCCCGAAAUGCAUUUAGGUGCAGCCUGUGGUAAGUAUAGCAUGAGGUAGAGCGACUGAUUGGAUGCGAGGGCUUCACCGCCUAUCAAGUCCAGAUAAACUCCGAAUGCGUGUUAUAUAUAGCCAUGGAGUGAGGGCGCGGGUGCUAAGGUCCGCGUCCGAGAGGAGAAGAAUCCAGACCAUCAGCUAAGGUCCCCAAAUAACGGUUAAGUUGAACUAACGAAGUCAGACUGCAGAGACAGCUAGGAUGUUGGCUUGGAAGCAGCCAUUCAUUUAAAGAGUGCGUAACAGCUCACUAGUCGAGGAGUCUGGCGUGGAUAAUACUCGGGCAUAAACCGUUUACCGAAGCUAUGGAUGUUGUAAGACAUGGUAGGGGAGCAUUCCAACGGCGCAGAAGGUAGGGGAUAACCCCUGUUGGAGCUUUUGGAAAAGCAAAUGUAGGUAUAAGUAACGAUAAAGGGGGUGAGAAACCUCCUCGCCGAAAGACUAAGGUUUCCUGAUCAACGUUAAUCGGAUCAGGGUAAGUCGGGACCUAAGGAUAAGCCGAACGGCGAUUCCGAUGGAAGAAUGGUUUAAUAUUCCCAUACUACUUUAUGGAGCGAUGUGGAGACGGAGAAGUGACAGUCCUGCCAUCUGACGGAAUAGGUGGUUGAAGGGUGUAGGCGUCGAUGAUUGUAGGCAAAUCCGCAGUCAGAGCCGAACCUGAAAGUAUGCCGAGUACUUGUACAAAGCAAUAUGGACGUAAUCAUGCUCCCUAGAAAAUCCGCUAAGCAUAUUCAUAGAGUACCCGUACCGUAAACGGACACACGUAGUUGGGUUGAGAAUACUGAGGCGCUCGAGUGAUUCACGGUUAAGGAACUAGGCAAAUUGACCCUGUAACUUCGGGAUAAAGGGUCCCACUGUAACAGGUGGGCGCAGAGAAUAGGUCCAGGCAACUGUUUAACAAAAACACAUGGCUGUGCGAAAUGGAAACAUGAAGUAUACAGCCUGACACCUGCCCGGUGCUGGAAGGUUAAGAGGAGAGCUUAUCGCAAGAGAAGGUUUGAAUUGAAGCCCCAGUAAACGGCGGCCGUAACUAUAACGGUCCUAAGGUAGCGAAAUUCCUUGUCGGGUAAGUUCCGACCUGCACGAAUGGUGUAAUGAUCUGGACACUGUCUCAACCGUGAGCU
rnacentral:rRNA from 1 species